AAUUCUGAUUUCUCAUAUUACCCGGGGUCCAUCCCUGCGAAAAGAGAGGAAAAGCAUAAGAUCAAGAAAAGGGAAAAGAGAAAUCCUCUGAUUACCAAAAGAAGAAGAACCGGUUUCAGAAGAGGUCCAAAGGAACUCAACUUAAAUUGCUGCUUUAAAAAGAGGAAGACUUAGAUUACUCAGAUGACAAGGGGAUGUUUACAGUUCUGCUUAUUGUCCUGCAUUACCAGCUGAUUUAAACUAGAUAAACAUAUGUGAUCAAUAAAAGCAAAAGAUGGAAAUGAUUGAUUGGAUAAUCGGUGGCAUACUAUUCAAAGAUGUACGAAUCACGCCUUUAAUCAAUAGAGGUGCACUUGUCGAACUUUGAUCUAAAAGGAAGCAGGAGUGGAAAGCCAGCACACUGCUAUGGAAGAUAAGACGGCUCAUAGACGAAAGAAAGUUAACAGAUCAGGAUCUCCAAGCCUAUCGAAGACCGUAGGAGGAGUGUGCUGGAAGACUGGUUGGGUCUCGAUUCUUUCCAAAGCAGGCCGCUUUUCUUUAGAUUUAGAGGUACCAGCCUCAUCGACAGGGAGCUCAAGUCGCUCUAAAGCUGGCCCUUUAUCUUU
rnacentral:sRNA from 1 species